rnacentral:lncRNA from 11 species
UGGAUGGUGAUAUACCAUACAGAAGUGGUGAGUGACACUUAUGGUGAUGGACUAGCGACAAAACUGAGUCUAAAGCAGAGUGCACAUCCAAGUCUCAGCCGCAGUUCAACUGCUUUCUGGAACUGGUCACUGAGAUGA